UACGGAGGAUCCACGCGUUAUCCGGAAUCAUUGGGUUUAAAGGGUCCGUAGGCGGGAUAAUGAGUCAGUGGCGAAAGUCUGCAGCUCAACUGUAGAAUUGCCUUUGAUACUGUUGUUCUUGAGUGUUGAUGAAGUGGUUAGAAUAUGUAGUGUAGCGGUGAAAUGCAUAGAUAUUACAUAGAACAACGAUUGCGAAGGCAGAUCACUAACAAUAUACUGACGCUGAUGGACGAAAGCGUAGGUAGCGAACAGG
rnacentral:misc_RNA from 1 species